rnacentral:rRNA from 1 species
UACGAGGGGUGCGAGCGUUAUUCGGAAUCAUUGGGCGUACAGGGCGCGUAGACGGCAUAUUAAGUCAACUGUUAAAUUUCUCGGCCUAACCGGGAACCAGCAGUAGAUACUGAUGUGCUAGAGGAUGGAAGAGAGAAGUGGAAUUCUCGGAGUAGCGGUAAAAUGCGUAGAUCUCGAGAGGAACACCGAUGGCGAAGGCAGCUUCUUGGUCCAUACCUGACGUUGAGGCGCGAAAGCGUGGGGAGCAAACAGG